rfam:Danio rerio chromosome 4, GRCz11 reference primary assembly.
GCCGUGAUCGUAUAGUGGUUAGUACUCUGUGUUGUGGCCGCAGCAUCCCCGGUUCGAAUCCAGGUCACGGCA